GCCUUGAGAUGUUUUCACAACUUAUUUUUUGUCAUGGCAAUGAGAUGUUUUGAUUCUCCUCACACGAGAUUAAAAAACUUCAACUGUUAGUCCAUGAAAUAGUGAAAUAGUUGGUGAAUAUGAAAGUUUGAAAUAUUCCGUGUACUGACAUAUUUACAUAUUUUAGUCUGGAAAGUUAUCCAAAAGGAGAUGCAAGAUGUUUUUAAAGUUAUGAGCAGUGUCUGUGAUUCAUUUAUUUAAAAAAAAGUUGAAUUCAGUCUUGCUUUGGGUCCAGAAAUAAGGCCAACGUAAAUAUAUUCAUAUAUAAGGAUUUUUUUUAUUAGCUUUGGCUAAUCAGGGUGCCCACUCUUCCCCAGAUGUUUAACUUCAAGUUGUCCCUGCAAGCUCUAGGUAGCAGAUCUGGGGCCAGUGGGGGUUUCGUGCCAUCAAUCAUCUAUCAGCAGGGACUCUUUCCUUUAAUGCUCACUGACUGACCCCCUGUUGUGCCUCUUCCUACCUCCUCUUCCUCUUUGUCCUUCUUUGAUUUUUCUAACCAACUUUUUUCUCUUUCCUCAUCUUUGUCUUUAUCUUCUUUCUCCUCUUUUGUUUCCCGUCACUUCCUUCUUUACUUCCUCUCGAUUUCUUGUUCACUUAUUUACCUUUUUGCAUUUUUUUUUUGUUCCCACACAUUUCAACGUGUCUUAAUUCUUUUACCACUGAAGUCACUGCUACUAGGUCUGUAAUACACUUGAAGGCACGUGCACAUUUGUACAUACCGGAGGUCCUCCCUCAAAAGGCCAAUCAUUUCUCAGCGGGUGCUGAAAAAUCACCUGAUACACCGACACAGGUGGGUGGGGGGAGUGGAUGGUGGCUGUCUGUGGUUGGGGUGUGGGUGGGGGAGUCAUUUGUAUAACAGAUGUGUGUUUGCAUGUGUGUUUGCAUGUGUGUGUGUGAGUCAGACACAGGUUUAAUGACUCGUCCCAGCCAAUUUUCAGCCAGUGGCUUCUCUUUGUGAGGAAAUGAGGUUUGCAGUUAAUGUAGCACAGAAGGGCUGCCUGUGAUCAGCGCACGCAUACACUCCGUGAUAUGUGCGCACACACAAGAUUGUUUUUGCAUGUGUGUGUGUCAGUUCCAGUGAGUUGGCUCCAAGCAGAAUAUUAGUAGAAACCAUAUGGGAGAAAUCAUU
ensembl:lncRNA